CUGGAGCAUUACAUGUGUGUGUCAGACACAUUUCCAAGGAAGAAACACACGUGAGAACCAAAGGUUUCCGGUCAUCAAGAUUUUGAAGGCCUGCAGUGAAAAAGCAACUGGGAGUCUGGUGGCAGGGUCCCCUCUGGUGCUUUCUAUCAAACAUCCACACACAAGCAGACCCUGAUCGGAGCCCAAGUAAUCUCUGGCUUGAAGAAUGAAGCAGCAAGGGAUUGAACCACCAACCUCCUCAGCUACAGCCUACACGACAGAAAAACACGACAGACCCACUGUGAUCAUCUUUAUUUGGUACGGUUGCUGGACACACAGAGCUGCAGCUCUCCCGCUGCCAGCUCAACCUAACACACAACAACAUUCGCCAAAAACUCUAAACUUUUAAGCCGGCGAGGCGUGAUUGCAGGUGUCGCUCAGGUGGGUCAAUCGCACCUGCAUCAUCACCGCAAACCACGCCCCGCCACAACCGCCCAUCACCGGACUGUGGCCAGGGAACCACCCGGCCGAACCUACUCCCCCUCCCCCAGGAGCGGGAACCGACCCCAGCCCCUGGGCCAGCAGCAGGGAGGUACUAUCUGUUCUGGUGGCCGCCCACGCAUCUAGCGGUGCCGGUGAUGAGGUGGGUCCGGGAGUCGCCCGCGUAUCCAGUGGCAGCCCCACCCAUGUGGCAAGCAGCGGCGCAGCCGGUGUGGCAUCCAGCAUGCCGGACGCCGGCCUCUGGUGGAGGUGAGGCCGCUCUGCUCAGCACAUCGACCUCGGGCUUUGGUGGCGUGGACUCCCCUAGCACGGCUGGAGCGGCUCCCUGAAAGUCCAUGUUAAUGAUCCGAUUUAAACUCCCAUCUUAGCAACGCAGAACCUGAAAUAUCUCUGCUUACAUUUACAUGUCAGAAGC